UACGGAGGGUGCGAGCGUUGUCCGGAAUCACUGGGCGUAAAGGGCGCGUAGGUGGCGCGGGCAGUCAACGGUGAAAGUUCGGGGCUCAACCCUGAAUCGGCCGUCGAUACUCCCGGGCUUGAGCACUGUAGAGGCAGAUGGAAUUCCGGGUGUAGCGGUGGAAUGCGUAGAGAUCCGGAAGAACACCGGUGGCGAAGGCGGUCUGCUGGGCAGUAGCUGACACUGAGGCGCGACAGCGUGGGGAGCAAACAGG
rnacentral:rRNA from 1 species